rnacentral:rRNA from 1 species
UGGGGAAUUUUGCGCAAUGGGGGAAACCCUGACGCAGCAACGCCGCGUGGAGGAUGAAAUCCCCUGGGAUGUAAACUCCUUUCGAUCGGGAAGAUAAUGACGGUACCGAGAGAAGAAGCCCCGGCUAACUUCGUGCCAGCAGCCGCGGUAAUACGAGGGGGGCAAGCGUUGUUCGGAAUUAUUGGGCGUAAAGGGUGCGUAGGCGGUUUGAUAAGUUUGGUGUGAAAUCUAUGGGCUCAACCCAUAGCCUGCACCGAAAACUGUCGGGCUUGAGUAUGGGAGAGGUGAGUGGAAUUUCCGGUGUAGCGGUGAAAUGCGUAGAUAUCGGAAGGAACACCUGUGGCGAAAGCGGCUCACUGGACCAUUACUGACGCUGAUGCACGAAAGCUAGGGGAG